rnacentral:misc_RNA from 1 species
ACUGCAUCUUGAAAUUGACGUUGAAGAAAUCGUCAAUCCAAAUGGGGGAAGUAACUAUACAACGCAGUACAGAAAUUUGGAUAAACUGGUCAAACGCUUGGACUUGGAAAUAUUGUCUAAAUUGGAUGGUUCUUCAAAAGCUACUACAAGUAAUCCUGCAAGGGCUGAGGGUAGUGAAAGAUCAUCUGCAGUUGUAAAUGAGCCUACUUCUGGAAUCCCUGAGACUCGUAGCCCCCCGUCGAAUAUGCCUCUUUAUGGAAUUCCUGAGCGUCCUGGUCCACUGAUCGAUCCUUCAGGAGUUGUAAUUCCUCCUAUUAACCCCCUUGGUGGUGGCGAUCUUUUUCCUGGACCUGGUGCUGGAAUGUACCCUGCUAGAGGCGGUUUUAGUGGCGAUGGAAGCAUGCUUAUAGGACCUAAUGAUCCGCGAUGGUUCGGAAUUGGUAGAGGACCUGGUUUUCAAGGCGGGCAGCCUGGUGUACCUCCAGGUGCUCGUUUUGAUCCAUAUGGUCCACCUGAUGUUCCUGGGUUCGAGCCAAAUCGGUUUGUUAGAAAUCCUCG